rnacentral:lncRNA from 1 species
ACUGGCCAGGGAGCCGCUACGCAGAUGUUUUCGCCUCUGCGGGUGUAGGCUCCGGGUCGGGCUUCCGGGUCCCUUUCCUGGCUCUGGCGCCUUCCAGCUGUGUGACCGGGCGAGGCCCUGAGCCUCUUGAGGGUUCAGUGCCCUCCUCCGUACAAUGGGCCAACAACAGCCCCUUCCCUGGGGAUCUCGGUGAGGGUUGGUUGCUCUGCAGGGUGCCCUGGGCCUGUGCCAGCGCGCUCAGGCAUCCUGGUGACCAACCACAGCUGGCACUGGUGAACGCAGCCUCUUAGCCCAGGCAGGCUCUGGUCAGCCUCACCUGCUGGGACCGCUGAGUGGUCCAAGAGCUGGCUUGGCUGACUGGGACCUGGGCCUCAGCUUCCCCAUCUGUGCAGGGGGCCGCUGGUGAUACCGGUCCCUGCCAUGCCCUGGUGGAGAUAUGGCCCAGUGAGACUUCGUGAGGGGUCUAGGCCACUGCUGUCACGUGGUACGUCUUCUACCCUGGCCCCUAGGUGGCCCUGGCCUCAGCCUUGCUCUAAAGAGGAAUGAAGCCCAGCCCACAGCCCCUUAGCACAGAUACGCUCGGGAGACGGGACCCUCACCGUUACUCAUCUCCUUACUGUUCCCUGGACACCUUGGGGUCCCUGCGCCUCUCCACCCGUCCCUGCCAGGUCCUCCUGCUCCACCACAGGCCAUCUCCCUGGGCCUCAUCCAGACAGCUGGACACUGAGCACAGCUCUGUUGUCCUCUUCCCUGGGCUGAGUGGACUCAGAGGUGCUGGGGACUGCAUGGCCGCCGGACGAGGCGGGGGCUUUCCAACCCAACACCACCGAGCCUGCCUCUUCCUGCCCUGGAUGCUAUGUCUUCCAUAGAGCCGCUUUUCCAACACAGCAGGUAUGAAGUAUCCACCGGCCAUCUGAAAAUAAUGCAGUAACUAAGAAAAACAGUGGCGAGAGGAAGGAGUGUCGAUGCCCCAAAUGGAUCAUCUUCCAGAGCACGUCUACACCGAGAUCAAGAAUGAAAAGGAAUUGGGAUCCUGACACAUCCACCAAAGAGCCUUUGAGUACUUCGAAAUCACUUGGAACAGGUUCCUGCAAAGCAAACCCUUCUGGGCUUGAGGAGGAAAUGGACCCGGAACAUUCAGCCCAUCUGAGCACAAACUUUCUGUUGACCUGAGAGGCUGAGGCCUUCCUGUUCCCCACUCAGACCCAGGAGGCAGCCUGCCCAGGGGGAGCCGGGGCAUGGCCUACGAGCUCCUGGAGUCAGGCAGCUCCUGAGGGGCCGGAUGGUCUUGGGCUGGCCAAGCCAGCCUCUGUCGUCCUGUGGAUGGUGGGGCCUUGUGUACGCAUAGCCUCUGCACAGGGGCACACUGUGGGUGUUUGGACGGACAGUGUCUCAAAAACCCAAUUCAGGGCUUGACAGCAGAUUUGUCCUCCACUCCAUGUGCAUAUGAGCAAGGAGAGUUAAUGCAAAGCUUUCUUCAUAGCAGAAGGUUGAAAACAAUGUACCUUUCUAUCAGCAGAGCAGGCAAGGGGGAUACUGUGUGUUUCCCACUGCUGCUGGGACAAAUUAUAACAAAUGUAGCAGCGUAAACCAACGUCCAUUUUUCAUCUCAUGCUCUGGAGGUCAGAGGUUCUCGCGGGUUCUUCUGGUUUUUCUGUUCAAGGUCUCAUGAGGCUGAAAUUGAGGUUUCAGCCAGCAGGGUUCUUGCUGGGAGGCUCCAGGAAGAACUGGCUUCCUGCUCUGACAAGCUGUUGUCAGAAUCCAGGCCCUACAGUUGCAGGACCUGGGUCCCACAUCCUUGCUGGCUGUUGGCCAAAGGCUGCUCCCAGCUUCUGGAGGCUGCUCCGUUCUCUGGCUCACGGCUCCAUCCUCCAUCUUCAGAGCAAAACCAGGUCAUGUCCUUACCUCGACUCUCUCUGCCUCCGCCUCCUGCCUUAUGGCUCGGCCUCCAGGGAGAAGCUGGCCAAUGCGCUCUCUUUUAAGGGUUCAUACGCUGGGCUCACUGGGGAAUCCAGGAUUGUCCCCCACCUUCACCUUAACCACAGCUGCCAAGUCUCCUUCCCCCGCCACACGUCAUGGUAGCACAUGAAGGGAUUGG